UACAGAGGUCUCAAGCGUUUGUUCGGAUUCAUUGGGCGUAAAGGGUGUGUAGGUGGCGCGCUAAGUCGGGUGUGAAAUUUCGGAGCUUAACUCCGAAACUGCAUUCGAUACUGGCGUGCUUGAGGACUGGAGAGGAGACUGGAAUUUACGGUGAGCGGUGAAAUGCGUAGAUAUCGUAAGGAAGACCAGUGGCGAAGGCGGGUCUCUGGACAGUUCCUGACGCUGAGGCACGAAGGUCAGGGGGAGCAAACGGG
rnacentral:rRNA from 1 species